rnacentral:rRNA from 1 species
AAAUUGACGGGACCCCGCACAAGCAGCGGAGCGUGUGGUUUAAUUCGAUGCUACACGAAGAACCUUACCAGGGUUUGACAUGCAAGUGGUAGGAAUCCGAAAGGUGACCGACCCUUCGGGGAGCUUGCACAGGUGCUGCAUGGCUGUCGUCAGCUCGUGUCGUGAGAUGUUCGGUUAAGUCCGCUAACGAGCGCAACCCUCGUCGUGUGUUAUACGUGUCACACGAUACUGCCGGUAUCAAGCCGGAGGAAGGUGGGGAUGAUGUCAAGUCAGCAUGGCCUUUAUAUCCUGGGCUACACACACGCUACAAUGGCAGAUACAAUAGGUCGCGAAACCGCGAGGUGGAGCCAAUCCUCAAAGUCUGUCUCAGUUCAGAUUGUAGGCUGCAACUCGCCUGCAUGAAGUCGGAGUUGCUAGUAAACGCAGGUCAGCUAUACUGCGUUGAAUACGUUCCCGGGGUUU